rnacentral:rRNA from 1 species
UGGGGAAUAUUGCACAAUGGCCGAAAGGCUGAUGCAGCAACGCCGCGUGAGCGAAGAAGGCCUUCGGGUUGUAAAGCUCUGUUGCCUGCGAAGAAGGGCCCUGUCAGGAAAUGGGCGGGGUUUGACGGUAGCAGGCGAGGAAGCCCCGGCAAACUACGUGCCAGCAGCCGCGGUAAUACGUAGGGGGCGAGCGUUGUCCGGAAUUACUGGGCGUAAAGGGCGUGUAGGCGGCCUGUUAAGUCAGGGGUGAAAGACCGGGGCUCAACCCCGGGGGUGCCUCUGAAACGGGCGGGCUUGAGUGCUCUAGAGGGCAGUGGAAUUCCCGGUGUAGCAGUGAAAUGCGUAGAGAUCGGGAGGAACACCAGUGGCGAAGGCGGCUGCCUGGGGAGUCACUGACGCUGAGGCGCGAAAGCUAGGGGAGCAAACAGG